rnacentral:rRNA from 1 species
UACAGAGGGUGCGAACGUUGUUCGGAUUUACUGGGCGUAAAGCGCGUGUAGGCGGCCAUCUAAGUCGGGCGUGAAAUCCCACGGCUCAACCGUGGAAGUGCACUCGAAACUGGAUGGCUAGAGUCCUGGAGAGGAAGGUGGAAUGCUUGGUGUAGAGGUGAAAUUCGUAGAUAUCAAGCGGAACACCGGUGGCGAAGGCGGCCUUCUGGACAGUGACUGACGCUGAGACGCGAAAGCGUGGGGAGCAAACAGG